rnacentral:tRNA from 2 species
GGAUUGUAGCUUAGUGGUAGAGCACUUGCCUCCCAUGCAUGAGGCCCUGGGUUCGAUCCUCAGUACCA